GACAGAGGCCUCGAGCGUUAGGCGGAAUCACUGGGCUUAAAGCGCGUGUAGGCGGAUCGUUAAAGUGUCUUGUGAAAUCCCCACGGCUCAAACCGUGGAACUGCUGGGCAUACUGGCGAUCUUGGGCCCAUUCAGGGGUUGCCGGAACAAGCGGUGGAGCGGUGAAAUGCGUAGAUAAUCGCUUGGAACGCCAAAGGGUGGAAGACAGGCAACUGGGG
rnacentral:rRNA from 1 species